GAGCAGUGCUAAUUACCGGGAUUGACAGACCAGCAUUGAUAGCAUACUAAUGAGACAUUUAAGGUUCGAGAUUUGCAGGGGUUUUGCAUUAUCGAGCUGUUGAUUUUCGAUCUAUUAAAGAUCGGAUGGUCCCUUGGUGAAUAGAUCAGGCAAAUUUUUUUCUUAUCGAAGUAGCUUUAGUUUUAUCGUUUUUGCAAAUGCCGUUGUUGCCGAAAAGGUUGUCACGCGUAAAGGCACAUAAUAGAUGGAAGAAUUGUAGGGCGAUAGUUGUUUAGCAAAUCCACGCCAAACCUCAAUGUGUAUAUUUUGUUCGUCAAACUUCUAAAUGAUGUUAUACCUGCAUAGGCAUCUUAGUUUAAUUUAUGACCUCCCA